rnacentral:lncRNA from 1 species
UAUUUAAAAUAAAAUUUAAUAAAAAAAUAUUAUAUUAGUAAAGAGUAAAGAAAGUUUGCCAAAUAUGGCUAAGGACAAUUUUAGAAUAGACUAUACUUUAUAGUUAAGAUUGCUGAAUUUUAUAGAGUGAACUAAACAUAGUAGUGAUAUAUAUAAACGAUGCAAUCUAGUAUUAUAUUACUGUAUUAAAUUGAACGCACUAAUACAAUAUCAGUAAUAAUCUUAUUUAGAAAUGCAAGAUAUCUGGAUAUAUUGAAAUACUCUGUAAUAUUACAUAACUCGAACCAAACACGCCCUUAUAGUGUUUGAAUAUUUAUAUUAGAAUAAGAUAUUAGAUUGACAAAAAUUAAGCAAGAUGGCAAUUUUGCUCUUGGAUAUAAUAAUGAAAUAUAAUUUGAUAUAUGAGAAACGAGAUAGAAUUAAUAUAUAGUAGUGUAAUUUUGAAUAUAGCAAUAAAAAUAUACUUGUAAUUUUAAGAUUAAAGGAGAAAAAUGAUGAUCUAAUCUUCACUUUUGUAUGGGUAUAUCUUCACCGCAAUCUGAUGAUUGUGAAUUUAGUUCUCUUGAAGCCUCACAAACGUCCGACCUCUAUAGGUAUCUACACGAGAUUGUCGAUCUGAUCGAUGUCCUCACUUGAGUGCUAGCUUUCUUGCAAAGAACGUCUUUUUUGCUAGAGGAUUGAAGAGAAGAAGAGAGAAGGAGAGAGCUUACGGCCAAGAUUUUCUAAAAGCUCCCAUAUCUAUAAAGAGAGAUAUAAUCCCUUAUAUAAUAAUAUAAUAACCAUUAAUGAUAAAAACAAAUCUAGGUUUAAUUUUAUCUUAUUCUUAAUUGAUUCGAUCGAUUAAAUCCUAAAUUAAAUCGACUUGAACUCAAUCCUAAUUUAAUCAAAUCAAAUUAAUAAUAUAAUAUUUGUACAUAAGUUCUCUCACAAUUUACUAACUGUUAGUAAGUUCUCUCUUACAAUAUUUGCACUUUAAUAUCACUAAUUUAUAAUAAUUACAAAUUAGUUCAAUUAUCAAUUAACAAUUAGGUUCUCUUGCGAUUCAAAAAUCGCAAUCUAGCUAUUCGAUCAGUCGCAAUCUCUUAUAUGUGUAACCCCAUAUGUUCUAUUCUAUCUGAUAGUGAGAUAUAUUUUGAUCACUAUCAGGAAUAUUUGGAAAACUCUAUUUAGUGGAUUGGAAUAAUUCUAACUCAGUCCAAUAAAAAUAAUCGAUCAUCCAGAUAACUCUCAAGAGUCUGACAAUCCACUAGCGACAUCUAGCAGUAUGUAGUGGCAUACAGUAUAAUAGAAUAUUGAACCUCUUGUUGAAGUUAUCGUGUGAUAUAGUCCUUCUAUCAAGAGUCUCGACUAAACAAAAGUCAUGGAAUAUCCCGUCAAACCCCAUCAUCUAUCAUAUGAUAAAUUUAUUCGACUUGAACUGCUACUAUCAAAAAUCCUUUUUGCUAUUAACUCUGCCCCUGACUAAGGUCUUCUAAACUCUGUCUUAUAAAUCGUAUAGGACGAACGUCCCUAUCUACCAAGGGAGAUAGAUUUCAUAUAGAUACACACACUAUUCCUACAAUGAACGUACUGCAGC